rnacentral:rRNA from 1 species
UAGUGAUUGGAAUGAUGGGAAUUUAAACUCCUUUCAGAGUAACAAUUGGAGGGCAAGUCUGGUGCCAGCAACCGCGGUAAUUCCAGCUCCAAUAGCGUAUAUUAAAGUUGUUGCAGUUAAAAAGCUCGUAGUUGGAUAUCUGCUGGAAGCAAUCAGUCCGCCCUCUUUGUAGGGUGUGCACUUGAUGAAUUCUGGCAUCUAUUAUGUCCCGUAAUACGGAUGAAGCUAUUGAACGAAAGUUCAAUAGACUGUCCGGUUUUACUGGGAUAAUACUGUUACUUUGAGAAAAUUAGAGUGUUUGAAGCAGGCUUGUAUUGCCUUGAAUACUGCAGCAUGGAAUAACAAUAUAGGAUUUCGGUUCUAUUUUGUUGGUUUCUAGGACUGAAAUAAUGAUUAAUAGGGACAGUUGGGGGCAUUCGUAUUUAACUGUCAGAGGUGAAAUUCUUAGAUUUGUUAAAGACGAACUACUGCGAA